UACGAGGGGGGCUAGUGUUGUUCGGAAUCACUGGGCGUAAAGGGUGCGUAGGCGGGCGUUUAAGUUAGGUGUUUAAUCCCGGGGCCCAACCCCGGACCGGCACCUAAAACUGGACGUCUUGAAUAGUGGAGAGGUCGGUGGAAUUGGAGGUGUAGCGGUGGAAUGCGUAGAGAUCUCCAAGAACACCAGUGGCGAAGGCGGCUCACUGGCCCGGUACUGACGCUGAGGUGCGAAAGCGUGGGGAGCAAACAGG
rnacentral:rRNA from 1 species